rnacentral:rRNA from 1 species
CCUACGGGGGGCAGCAGUGAGGAAUAUUGGUCAAUGGGCGAGAGCCUGAACCAGCCAAGUCGCGUGAAGGAUGACGGCCCUACGGGUUGUAAACUUCUUUUGUCAGGGAGCAAUUGGGUCCACGUGUGGCUCAUUGAGAGUACCCGAAGAAAAAGCAUCGGCUAACUCCGUGCCAGCAGCCGCGGUAAUACGGAGGAUGCGAGCGUUAUCCGGAUUUAUUGGGUUUAAAGGGUGCGCAGGCGGAGGUGCAAGUCAGUGGUCAAAUUGCGGGGCUCAACCCCGUACUGCCGUUGAAACUGCAUCCCUUGAGUGCGCGAGAAGUAUGCGGAAUGCGUGGUGUAGCGGUGAAAUGCAUAGAUAUCACGCAGAACUCCGAUUGCGAAGGCAGCAUACCGGCGCGCAACUGACGCUCAUGCACGAAAGCGUGGGUAUCGAACAGGAUUAGAUACCCUUGUAGUC